rnacentral:rRNA from 1 species
UACCAGCACCCCGAGUGGUCGGGACGAUUAUUGGGCCUAAAGCAUCCGUAGCCGGUUCUACAAGUCUUCCGUUAAAUCCACCUGCUUAACAGAUGGGCUGCGGAGGAUACUAUAGAGCUAGGAGGCGGGAGAGGCAAGCGGUACUUAGUGGGUAGGGGUAAAAUCCGUUGAUCCAUUGAAGACCACCAGUGGCGAAGGCGGCUUGCCAGAACGCGCUCGACGGUGAGGGAUGAAAGCUGGGGGAGCAAACGGG